rnacentral:ncRNA from 1 species
CAGAGUAAGUAUAUGUGCGUUAAGUGUCGUGUGAACGGGGAGUUGUCAUACGAACGAAAAGAUACCUUGCGGUACAUAUAUUGCAUCCCGCUGU